UAGGGACUGUCUUUUUGUUCUGUAUUUGUACAGCACCUAGCAAAACGGGGUCCUGAUCCAUGGUCAGGGCUCCUAGGUUUACUACAGUAAAACAAAUAAAUAAUAAUAAGCCCUCCUACCAUCCACUCAGUUCUACUUGGCCUCUCUAUUUCUCCACUUUCCUCUUCCCAGCUGUUCCAAGAGACUUUAUUCACUCAAGGUCCUGAGUGAUGUCUUCAGUCUGAAAUCAAUCAACUUCAAAUUGCCUCUUGGCUCCUACAAGCUGGACUGAAGAAACUAGAUUCAGAUUUAUUCAGAGAACAAACUGAAACCUGCAUUUGUUCGAGCAAGUGGUGGAAUCAAAAAGUCACAGUCCCAUGGGUUGAUGACCACAAAGCCUCGGGAGCCACUACAUCUGGGAAAAGGAAAGAGAGCAGCUGAAUUACAGGCAGAGAGGAAUGCAGAGUGACUGGAUUUGUGCUGAUUCCUACAGAGCUCACCAAUCAACGUUUUCAAGGUGAG